AAAAGACUAAUAUAGAAGAUAUAUAAAGUACAUCAGAACAAAAUUGUCUAAAAUGUGUCGUGUGUUAAACAUGUGACAACCUACACUCAUUGUCAUCAGGCAUGAUAGUUUAGUGAAAAGUUCAUGGUAGUUUUCUCUAAUAAUCAUAGUAAUGUUAGCAUACCUUAUUCGUAAUCAAUAGCCCUUACCCCUCUUUAUCACAGUAGUUUUGUGGAUUGAAAUCAACAUUGUGCAACAAUAUAGUGAUAUCUCUCAGCUUGCAUCUGCAUGCUACAACCGAUGGAUAUUUUGUUGCAAAUUUUUUUAUAAUCAUGUUGCAUUAUGAUAAAUUAACAAAACGAGGGGUUUUAACCGGUUACUUAAAAUUGAUAUUUUUUUGUUGUUCAGGAGAUAAACUUGUGGGCGAGGUUAGCAGACUUGUAGUGGCAGAAGCCUGCAUACAAGCUCUCGAUAUAGACUUUACUAAGGGACAAAUAUAUGAGAUCAACUCGAUACAGGGAGAAGGACCUGGAAGCGAUACGGAGAAAUGGAAGGAGCUUUUCAAAGCUGCCACAAUUAAUUAGAUGGAAAUGUUGUUGCUCAUCUCCGUCACUGAGUUUUUGCUUGAACAUGAGUUUAUACACUUGUAUAAUAGUAAUGUGGACUAUGUACUCUUGUAUAGCGUUGUGUAUAAUUAAUGUAAUUAAUUUGUAUUUAUAUCAUAAUUUUAUCUUCAGAAUAAAAAGAACAUAAUUGUACCA